GUGCCAGCAGCCGCGGUAAUACGUAGGGGGCAAGCGUUAUCCGGAUUUACUGGGUGUAAAGGGAGCGUAGACGGCAUGGCAAGUCUGAAGUGAAAACCCAGGGCUCAACCCUGGGACUGCUUUGGAAACUGUCAAGCUAGAGUGCAGGAGAGGUAAGUGGAAUUCCUAGUGUAGCGGUGAAAUGCGUAGAUAUUAGGAGGAACACCAGUGGCGAAGGCGGCUUACUGGACUGUAACUGACGUUGAGGCUCGAAAGCGUGGGGAGCAAACAGGAUUAGAUACCCCGGUAGUCC
rnacentral:rRNA from 1 species